UUUGAAAUCUGGUAGCCUUCGGCUGCCCGAGUUGUAAUCUAGAGAAGUGUUUUCCGUGCCGGCCCAUGUACAAGUCCCUUGGAACAGGGCGUCAUAGAGGGUGAGAAUCCCGUCCUUGACAUGGACCCCCGGUGCUUUGUGAUACACUUUCAACGAGUCGAGUUGUUUGGGAAUGCAGCUCAAAAUGGGUGGUGAAUUCCAUCUAAAGCUAAAUAUUGGCGAGAGACCGAUAGCGAACAAGUACCGUGAGGGAAAGAUGAAAAGCACUUUGGAAAGAGAGUUAAACAGUACGUGAAAUUGUUGAAAGGGAAACGAUUGAAGUCAGUCAUGCUCUUUGGAUUCAGCCGUUCUGCGGUGUAUUUCCAUUGAGUGGGGUCAACAUCAGUUUUGACCGCUGGAUAAAGGCACUAGGAAGGUAGCACUCUCGGGUGAACUUAUAGCCUAGCGUCAUAUACAGUGGUUGGGACUGAGGAACGCAGCAUGCCUUUAUGGCCGGGAUUCGUCCACGUACAUGCUUAGGAUGUU
rnacentral:rRNA from 1 species